CGCCUCGCUGUGUACGAAUCCAACUCGUCGACUCCCUCUCGGCUCUCGCCAUCGUAAGUCAUGAAGCUGCAACCGGCGUGAGCGCGACGACACUGCACGACACGGCGACGGACUCCGGCAUCCGUGGCUUUGCCCCUUCUGCCGUCUCCUCGCGACCCCGCCGGCAGCGUCAGUCUCCCUGAACUCUAGCGACUACUCGUCGCCUGAGGUUUGAGAAGCAAAAAAUCCAAAUCUCUAAUACCCUAAUUCUAUAUUGUUUGCUAUAUAUGAUAAUUUUUAUUCCUUACUUCAUCAACUAGAUAGUGGUGCACUGGUGCUAUUUUUUAUCAGUUAUACUUAAUCAACUCCUAAGACAAAAUCUAUUGUCAAAGUUACCCACAGUGAUGCUAUUUUUAUCAAUUACCCCGAGCAUUGAGCGUGGUGGUUCAAGUGGUGCGAAUUCGUGAAGACGGAAGACAUCAGGCAUGGAUUUUUUUUUUAUUGUGAAAGGCUCUUUGUAUUUGGUCCGCCACUGAGGACGUCGGCGCGUCGUCCGUGUCAGGUGCUGCGGCAGAGCGGCUGCUGCGGAGACGGCGGAGCACACGCCACCCUUGCCGACCCCAUCCUGGACGCCGACGAUGCGCGUGUGGACAGCGGAGAAAAGGCCUCCAGCAUUUGCCUCCAUUGGCUCCUCUAUCUGUUAGGACUUAUUUAGUUAAGGAAAAUUUUAGCUUUGUGUACUGUAAUAUUUUUGUUUAUAUUUGGUAACUAUUGUCCAAUUGCAUACUAAGCUUAGAAGAUUCGUCUCGCAAAUUAC